rnacentral:rRNA from 1 species
AACGAACGCUGGCGGCAUGCCUAACACAUGCAAGUCGAACGGAAAGGCCGUGCUUUUUGGGGGUGCUCGAGGGGCGAACGGGUGAGUUACACGUGAGUAACCUGCCCCUGACUGUGGGAUGUCCUCAGACAGGUGGGGCUAAUACCGGAUAGGAGCUCCCGCUGCUGGGUGGGGGUGGGAUAGUUUCGGCGGUUGGGGAUGGACUCGCGGCUUAUGAGCUUGUUGGUGGGGUAGUGGCUUACCAAGGCAUUGCCGGGUAGCCGACCUGAGAGGGUGACCGGCCACAUUAGGCCUGAGCUACGACCCAGACUCGUAUGGGAGGCAGCGGUGGAGAGUAUUGUACAAUGGGAUGAAGCCUGGUGCGACCACGCCGCGUGGGGGAAGACAGGCAUGGGGUUGUGAAGCGCAGUCGUUUGUGACGGGGCGUUAGUGACGGUACCGGGAGAAUAAGCACCGGCUAACUACGUG